GGGGGGGGGGGGGGGGGGGGGUGGCGGAGGCAAGUCGAGCGGUAGGAGGCGGCGAGGUGCGGACGAGUGGGGGACGGGGGAGGAAUGCAGCGGAACGUGCCCAGUCGUGGGGGGUAACUACUCGAAAGGGUAGCUAAUACCGCAUACGGUCAAGGGAGGAACGCGGGGGACCGGAAGGCCCCGGGCGCUUGGAGCGCCCGACGUCAGAUUAGGUAGUUGGUGGGGAAAAGGCUACCCAAGCCAACGAUCUGUAGCUGGUCUGAGAGGACGACCAGCCACACUGGGACUGAGACACGGCCCAGACUCCUACGGGAGGCAGCAGUGGGGAAUUUUGGACAAUGGGCGCAAGCCUGAUCCAGCAAUGCCGCGUGCAGGAAGAAGGCCUUCGGGUUGUAAACUGCUUUUGUACGGAACGAAACGGCUCUGGUUAAUACCCGGGGCUAAUGACGGUACCGUAAGAAUAAGCACCGGCUAACUACGUG
rnacentral:rRNA from 1 species